rnacentral:rRNA from 1 species
CCUACGGGGGGCUGCAGUGAGGGAUAUUGGACAAUGGAUGGAAAUCUGAUCCAGCCAUGCCGCGUGCAGGAAGACGGCCCUAUGGGUUGUAAACUGCUUUUAUACGGGAGCAAUAAGGUCUACGCGUAGACUGAUGAGAGUACCGUAUGAAUAAGCAUCGGCUAACUCCGUGCCAGCAGCCGCGGUAAUACGGAGGAUGCGAGCGUUAUCCGGAUUUAUUGGGUUUAAAGGGUGCGUAGGCGGCUUUGUAAGUCAGCGGUGAAAUUUUGCAGCUUAACUGUAACAGUGCCGUUGAUACUGUGAGGCUAGGAUUUGGUUGCUGUGGGUGGAAUGUGUGGUGUAGCGGUGAAAUGCUUAGAGAUCACACAGAAUAUCGAUUGCGAAGGCAGCUCACAAAGCCAAGAUUGACGCUGAGGCACGAAAGUGUGGGGAUCAAACAGGAUUAGAUACCCCUGUAGUC